rnacentral:antisense_RNA from 3 species
UCUUAUGGGCGGGCCUUGAUGGGGAGGCCUUCGGGCCUGCCGGUUUGGUAACGGCCGCCAACCUUGUCACUGUGCCCGCUCACCACC